GCCUGGGUGGCUAAGUUGGUUAAGCGUCUGACUUUGGCUCAGGUCACGAUCUCAUAGUUUGUGGGUUCAAGCCCCAGGUCGGGCU
rnacentral:tRNA from 1 species